rnacentral:lncRNA from 1 species
CAAUAUUGCAUAUAUUUUUAUUUUAUUUCAUAAUUAAUUUACCAUUGAAAGUAAAUUAUGAAAGUAUAUUGAAAGUAAAUUGGCUGAUAUUCUUUGGUUUAUUCUUAUCUAUUUCUGUGAUACUAAAUUGAGGAUGUCCUCCUGAAACCAAUAGAGAAACACUCUUGGAAAACAGGAAAAUAAAAAAAGCCUCAUUUUUAUUGUUGCCAUUGUUAUUAUUAGGAUAUUAUCCUCCUUUUUGAUUUGAAGUAAUGUAAGAUUGAAUAUUAAAAUUAUGUAAAAAUUUAAAAGUAAAUAUAUAGAUCAGUCUGUGUCCCAAUACAGCAGCAAACAUUUUUAAAAAUAAUCAAUUUUGUGUAUUGUCUAAAAUAUUCUGGUUUUCUUUUAAUAAAAUGUGAUUUGACCAUGGAAAAAGAUAUUUGAAGGAUACUCUUUGGCUGCCUUCUUUUAUAUGUGUGUUCUUAUUUUUAAUUGAAACUUCCAUCCUCAGAAUGUUAUUCACAAGUGUGAGAUUCAUCACACUUAUCUCCAGCAAUAUAAAAGUCAAAUAGCUUAGCUGUGAUUUAACUCACCCAACCUUAGAAGUGGCAAUUCAGUUACAGACUGCGAAGUGUAAAUUCAUGUGCUCACAAUACAGCUGUUACGUUUCAGCUAGGGAACACUUAAAAGGCUUUAACAUAAUCAUCUGUAACACUUAAGGUAUGCUAAAGUAUCUUGCCUGAAUUCCAGCUGCCAGUUCAGAAUAGAAGAUGUAUUAACCAUGGACAGAUAUCUCAGGUAUCCCAGGAUGCCCUGAAUUCCACCUAAGCAUGCAUAUCUCAAAUUAUUUGAAAACUCUUUUUAGAAUCCAGUCCCAAACAUCUGCCUUCAGUUCAAGGAGAUAGGAUUGUAUACGAAUGCUGUCAGUCAUAACUGCAACAAUUUAAAUUAAGGCAAUAAACCAUUCCAGUAGUUUAACACGGAAUAUUAGUACACAUGGCAAAAAAAAAAAAAAAAAAAAAGUUUUAAAAUUUAUUUCAUUAAAUAAAAUUUCUCAUUGUUGUAUUCUAGUCUACUUGUCCAAUGUCAGAAUGUCAGUCAGAGGUAAAGGCAGGGAGAUUGAAGUCUGUUUUAGAAAUAUAAUAGGAUUUCUGAGAAAGAAUUGCAUCAUAAACUAAAGAAAGCAGAAAGGAAAAUAGCAACAAAAACAACAAAAGCAACAACAAAACCUACAAUUUUUAAGCCCAUCUAUGAAUCUCUGGCCCAAAUGCUGAGACCACAGGAGAUACACUGUAGAUAUUCACACUUCUAAAUGAGCAAGAAACAGAAUUAAAUCAUAGGCUCAAUCUCCAAGCACAAAUUGGCUCAUGUUCACAUUGCCAAGGGCUUGUCCCUUCUUUAGCAGUUUUGUCUUGGACUGAGCUAGUUGAGAGCAACAGAAAAGAGCUAAAUUAUGAUAGAACAGUUAUUCAGUAGGAAUUCUCCAUUAUGGAUUAUGUGUUAUGGAUUAUAGCUAGGGUGUUUGAGUUUAUUCACAUUCUGAUUUAGUUAGCUUAGCAUAAUAAAGGACCCUGUUCCAGUCAGUUAUGGGGCACUCAGUCUGACUCAAAAGGACAUAUGUCACACACUUAUGUUUUCCAAGUUUUUUCUUCAUUCACUAAUGUUUGAAAAUUUGAUCCUGCACUGAUUCCUCAUGAUACAGACAGAAGAGGGAUUCAAAACUUUCUUUUUUGUCCCCACAAGAGCAAUUCUUCCUAUUUUAAUAAACAAUGAAAUUUUGAAAAACAGUAUUAUUCCACUGAAAACCACAGAAACUUACAGUGAAUGGGAUUUUGUCUACAAAAAUAUAUGUACUAAUGAAAAACAUAUUUUGAUAAUUUCUAUUUACUUUCCUUAUCAUAUGAGAUACAAUUAUGGCUCCAUUAAUACUAGUAGUAUCAACCCUUCCUAAAAUUAGCAUUCUUUACUAAAUGUCUUUACCCUAAGAUUUUUGCUUUGUAUUGAGAAAUGUAUUGCUUUCAUAAAACCAUCUUUAGAAAUAAUAUCCAUGUAAAUCAACUGUAUCAUAUUAUCUGACCAGAACUCUGCUGAUGAUGUAACACUUCUAAUCAGAACUGAUCCUUUAAAAUACAUGGCGUAUUUCUAAACCUCAUCAAUAAAUUUUUUCCUCAAUUUUAUUCCAUUCCUAAUUCAUCAGGAGGCAUAAUCUACAUGCUCAGGUACUGUAAGAAUGCAGCUAAGAAUCCUGGAAUUAAUUAUUCAGAUUAAAAUUUAUGAAUGCUAUGAAUUUGUUCAAAGGAAAAAUGGGCUUAAUUUAAUAUACAUGUCUGCAGCUGAGCUAAUAAGUUUGGGCAGACAGCAAUUCAUGGAUCUGUAAUAAGAACAACUUCCUUCUGAGCUUAAUUUUUGUAUUGCCUUAUUACCAAAUCAAGUCUAAUCAUUACUCUAAAUAUACAUUCAGAUUUAUGUAGUUGCAGAGGAGUAUUGUCUUACACUAAAAUUUUAGUUAGUUAAGAUCAUCUUUCAUUAAUAGCAGCACAGCUAUAGAAAGACCUUUCAAAAAUGUGCAUGCUUCUUUUUCCCAUGGGUGCUCUUAGCCAAUGUCAAUAACAUCUUUCACUCUGUUGCUCAGACCAGCAGUUCUUCUUUCUGAAAAAUUUCAGCAAAUCUGCAGGGCCUAACACUGUAUUUAGUGCAUUCUUUUUGUUCAUUCUUAUUCUGUCAUGUUUUGUUUCUGAAAAAAAAAAUAUUUAAAAAAGGCAGACAGAAAACAAACAAACAAACACAACCCCAAACCAGAAAAUCCUUAAAUGUAGAAGGUAUCUUCAUUAUUUUUACUACUAUAAAUAUUAUUAUUCCCUGCCACACAUAAUGUCAUUGGGCAGAACACAACUUCUGGUAGGUUUUUGCAACAGUGAAAAUGUACCCCAAAAUUUAGAAAAUUGUUUCUAUCUUAGCGGUUUAGAUAUAUCCAUUGACCUAUCUUUCUGAGGAAUGCUUCCAGCCUAGGUUAAUAAUUUCAUACACACACUUUUUUUAAACAACCAUGAUCUUCACCACCCUAUUUGUAAAUAUUUCCUUAACAAGCUAGCUAAGAUAGAGACAAAUCGACAAUAAAGACACCUCAAAACACAUCCUUUAUAAACAAGCUACCUCAUUUUGAAUCAUUUGCUUACCAAAUUGCAACAGUGGGAAAAAAAUCCCAUAAUGUUUUGUACUUUCAUUCUCCCCUUUUGUGCUCAAGCUACGUUUUGGCACUUCUGUCUAAAAGUCCUUAUUGCUUGCAAAGUGCCCAGCACACAAUGCUGCAAACAUUGUUGUGCCAUAUUUAUCCUGGGCAAUUGAGUAACAGUCUCUAGAGUCUAGCUACAUAUUCUACAUCCUGCACUUAAAACUUUCUUACCAUCUGUCUGCCCUUAAAGAUCUCUCAUGUGAAUAAGUUGUUACUGUGUGUCCAUAAUUAAAUUAUAUUUUUCCCUUUUCAAACCUCCUGUGACAAUCCACUUAACAGUUUUGCAUUCUAUUUUCAUAAACCAGACUUUCUUUUUUCUGAAACAUUUUCCAUUCCAUUUGUAGCAUUUUAUCUUUCAUCGUGAUGAACUUAAUGACUUCAAUAAUGACUAUAACCCUGGAGUACUGUAUUCUUCAUUUGUAUUUCAAGCUUGACCCAAGAACCUGUUAUUUAUUAUUAUGGUAUCAGCAAUAACUGUCAGGAAUUUUUGUUGUUGUUGUUCUGCUUUUGCUUCCUGAGCCCUACAUUACUUUAAGAGGUCACUAUUAUUGUUAUUACGUACUAUAGCAAUUUCUAAUGACACCAGCUGAAAUAGGUGUCCCAUCCAGAAGCAACAAUUCCAACAUUAAAGAUCUAGCAAUUUAGAAAGACAAAAAUAAAAUCCAAGUUAGAAAAACAGAUGGAAAGAGUAUGUGGUACGCAUGUAUCCUCUAUCGCUAACCUCUAAAAAAUAAUGGCCAUCCUCUAAAAAUUGUCAUGUCUCUACAAACCAUCUCUAAUAUAAUUUUUUUAAAUGUAGUUUCAAGGGUUUGGUUUAAUUCUCAAAUGCAUUUCAUUAUCUGCAGCACAGGUGUAUGUAACUGAGCUACAUUUAGCUCAUUGAGCUACUCCUCUGCUUGUCCAUAGACAUGCCGUGCUUUUGUGGUGUCUUACCUUGCCUGGGCCCCAGCUGAUCAUAUAUUCUACAAGCCUUGAGUCUUUUCUAUCAGCACAUAAGACACCAAGAUAUUUCAAAUUACCUAUUUGAAUCAAGAUAUUUCAUAUUGCUUAUGUGUACCAGGUGAACCAACCCACCAGGCUCUCAGGGUAGAUCAAGAAUUCAAUUCAGUUGUUCCCACAUGGAUGUCUACUCCUAUUCCAAAUGACGUAAUGUAUUCUAGAGUCCAAGUGCCACUUCAGAAAUAUUCUAGUGUGCCCUAGUUCAUUUUUUUUGUGUCUAUCAGUCUCGUUCACACACCCCAGAUACUCCGGGACACCUCUUAGGGCACUACUGACUGUUAGGGCAACUCAUUCGAGCCCAUCAAACUAGAUGAGAAAGAUACCACCUAAUUUCAGGUCAGAUAGUAAUCCAGAAAAUGAGUCAUAUUCCUAAUUUUUUCCACCUGACCAUACUGCUUCUUAAUUCCUUCAUAAAAUUCUAUAAUGUACCCACCCAUCUUUACUAUUUGGAUCCUCAUUUAAAGUAAAAAGAACCAUUAUCUUCACAUGCUUUUGUUUUCCUCAUCACAUUUUAGUGCCUCCUGUUUGCUAAAAUUCUGCUUGCAAGAGAUGCAGUUGAUUCAGAAAUGAAAUAAAGUAACAUAAACCAAAUAUGACAAUCCAUAGUUAGACAUUCUUUAAGACCAAAGCUUGAGGGGUCUGUCUGAAUGCUCAUGACAUCAUCAAAAGUCAUUAAUAGCUAAGACAAUUUGUUCCAGUGGCUUAGCUGGAAAGUAGCUGAGGGGAAUCAAUCUGACUACCUAAUAGAACAACAGAAGUACUGAGGAAUUUUGAUGGUACCAAUGUUUCCAUCGAGCCAGUUCUUUCUGCCAAGGGCACUUUGUGCCACUUAUACCAAUAAAUAAUGGUAGUUUAAGCAGUCAUUCACCUAGGGUCAACUGAGUGUAUUCUAAAAUGGGCUUUUUCUGUCCAUUCUUUGCUAUGAAUUUUUGAUCUUAGUCUUCAAGUGUAUGAUGCAAGAGACUAAUUCCUCCCAGGGGACUUUCUGGUGACUUUGUUCCUCUCUCACAUGACUGAAGAAUGUAUAUAGGAAGUAUUCACAAAAAUUGAACCGGGAACUUUAACUAGUAAAUGGAAUCAUUCAGCAUGACAAUAUGCCCAUUGACCUGGCAAUUAAUCUUGGAGAAGUAAUACUGAGGGAUCUCAUUUAUAUUUCUUAACCCAAAAAAGAUAAAAUUAUAAAGGCUUCAGAAACUCACAGAUAUUAUAUUACAAGUUAACCCACUAAGGUACCAUUGCUAAACAUAAUCAUAAUUAAUGUAAUUUAAUAUAAUACAUUUGCUAUAUUUUUUGUCCCCCUUUUCUCCAUUGCUGAUAUUGCUCUGGGGCAAACUGAGUAAAAUAAAAUUAUUUUUGUGAUUCUGAUUGGUCAUGUCCAUACUUCUAAUACAGUUUAAACAGACUGAUCAUUUUAAACAGAUAACAGAAAUAUUAGGACAACCAUAUCUUACCAACACAACCUAUUAAUUCUUCACCCUCUGACUUCAUCACAAAUACAAAAAAAAGCCCAUUUGUGCAGUAGUCAAAUGCCCUGAAGUCCUGCCCAAUGCCUGGAAAUUUCUGUUUCAUAAAUCACAAAAAAUCCCACAAAUUUGGACUGCACAAGCACAUUGAAUAAUAUUCAGCCACAGAAACUGUCCUACUGCCCAUCUUAUUUACAUACAUCUAUGGGAACUUUGCUAAAUACAGAAGGAUCUACCUAAUGAGAUCCUUUAACAUCUAAGAGUGCCCAUUUUUGAUUACGUGUGAAUAAAAAUGCAGCCAAAUUCUCUCUGACUGAUUCAAAUAGUUAAAAAAAUUACAGAGUUUGGUAUAGAAGAAAACAAUUGCCAUGCAGAUUCAAACUCCAAAUAUAAGAAAAAAAAAGAUGUUAAAGAUCUGAUAUCUUGUGCAUCAUUUUCCAAGAAAGCCCCUAGAUGAAGCCUUGGAGAAGGUUACACAGAAAAUAAAAAGAGCAAUUUUAUCUCAAAUUUCUGCUGUCUUUUGCAACUUAAUAAACCACUAACAAAAAUACAAUGGGAAAGAGUUUGUAACUUUACUUAGAGCUACUUGUCUUUGGGAAACUUUGAUAUUUAUGAGAUCUACAAAUUGUUUCACAGAUAAUGGAAGGUAGAAAUCAUUCUGUUGGGAAAGAUGAGCAUUUAUCAGCCUCUUUCUGCCCUAAUUUUCACCCUAAUGACUUUUGCCACCAAUCUGAAAAAAUGUGAAAUGUUCACUUUGCGUAGUUCACGGCUUUUCUACCUGAGUGAAGAUUAGCAUACAAAGCCUUUUCUUCUACCUCAGAUCACAUCUGCCCCCACUCUUGCUAAAAAAAAAAACCAAAAACUAAACUAAAUAUAAAACCGCUAAGAAAAAAAAAGCUAACUCAAACCGAACAAUAAACCCCCUCAAAGAUUAUAUCACUUAGUUUGAAAUUAGAUCUGAAACUGUAUUUUCAAUGCAACUGCCCUGAAGUUAGAAAAUAACCUGACACAGCCAAUACAUUUAGCAAAGCAACAUAAUAACACAUUUCUAUGCAGUUCCAACAGCACACUUUUUCUCAAAAUGACACACAUCACCCUGGGUAUGAAUUUAAAAUUUUUUCAGGUUGCUCCUAGAAUUCUGUUCACUCUUCUGCAAUGGCAUGCAGGAGGCUACCAUGUAAAAAGGCAUGGAUUUCUAUGGCAACAGUUUAAAUUCUAGGCUAUUCUUAGUUGAAGUGUUUGCAGAAACAAAAACAAAGCACAAACAACCCUUUUAAACUAGAUAAAUAAUAAAUCUCUUUUCUGCCUUUUCUGAAAGAACAGAAAUGCCGUGAUGAUUAAGCAAUAAGUAACUAAAUGCUAUAUAUACUAUACUUGAAGUUACAAGAGUUAUAAGUUAGCAGAAAAAAAUGCCCAUUUUGACACAGCAUGGAUAUCUUAUAGGCUUCUAAUAUUAGAAAUAACAUCAUGACUGUCAUUAUCAGCAAAUAAAACAUUUACUUUUUGGUUAUUGCUCUUAAUGCAGUACAACUGAACAUAUUUAAUACAUUUGCAUUUCACUCCUCUCCAAAACAUCCUCAAUAAUCCUUUUUCUUUCUCUUAUGUUUCUUUUUUUGUUGAGUAUUUUGUUUGAUAAAAAUAAUCAUGGAAGUGCUAAGCAUGUAAAUAAGAUAAGCAUUGUAAUGCAAGGCCUGGUAAUUAUUACAUCAUCUCAGAGAGUUGGGUGAUCUAUGUGUCUUAAGAGCAAGUCUCUGCAAGAUGGAAGAAUCCUGUGAAUGUUAAAAUCUGAAAAUGACAUAGAAAAUUCCAUUUUGUAAUUUUUCCACAACCUAGAAGCAGGGUGAUAAAUACAUGUCUUCAACAUUUCAAUUGAAUUGACAUUUCUAUAUAGGUUUGCCAAUGAACUAGAACUUUUAGGAAGCUAAAUGAGCACAUUUCCAACUUUAUGUUACUUUUCAAUGAUGACAAAUUAAAAUUAAAUAUUUAGCAUUAUAUUCUCUGAAAUACAUGCAUGUCUGAUCUCAGCCAGUGAUUUGACAUUUUAAUUUAUUGUGCAUUUUAUCUAAACUUCCAUUUCGGUGUUUCUAAUGUAAUUAUUAUUAUUAUUUUUAGCAUGGUCUAUGUUCUCAAUUUUGCCACUACACUAUCAAAGAGAAGGCAGCUAGACUUAGGUUGUCUUCUAAAAGUGCACCAGCUCAUACCUAAACAGGUUAUUUUGGACUCUUUCUAAGCUGAAUAUGAUGGCCUUCCAAGGACAGAAUUACUGGCUCACAUGUAAGUGCAUUUAUUUUUUCUUCUCAAACUAUUCAACAGUGGAUUUCACAAUGGCAAAGUAGUGCCUCUACUGUCAUCACUUUGUCCUACACAGAGCAUCCUGGCAGAACAAUCUGUCUAAGGAAGCAGCAAGGUGGAAUAAAGAAGGGACCUUGAAAUAAGAAUGGUUUGUAUAGUUAAGCAGGCCAUGCCAUUUUCGCAGCUCCACAACCAAAUUUCAAGGUAUUUUCUAGGAGACUACAGAUUUUUCCACAGUGAUAAAGGAUUCUGGAGGAAUGGUGUAUUUCUUGUGUUUAAUUCUUCGUGAAUACCUGUAAUCAGGCUUCUUCUUCACUUUCAAGAGCAUACCUAUUGCAAUGUGUAUGUUUGUCUGUUUCCUUCUCACAGAUCCCAAAGGUGGGCUUCUUCUAUAAAGCAAACCAAAUCAGUAUUUGAAAUUUACUAAGUCCCUUACAGUGUUUUACUCUUUAAAAGGAUUCUUUGCCUGGAGAAAGCCAGGAGCAACGUGACUGAAAUUCUCCAUAUCUCCACUGGGACUUGAGCUGUGAGUUACAAGUGAUUUGCAGAGACUUUUGCCUUCACAGGUUUGACUGAGUUUAGGGGCACUUUCCCGUACAGGAAGGGGAUCAAAGGCGAGCUGCCUGAAGUCCAACUGCAGCACUGCGCCGUGUUUUUUUCAGUUUUCAGUAUCAAAGGGUAGAGGUACCCAGUGCAGGAACGGGAAAAUCUCUGCGGGCUAAUUCGCUUUUCCCACUGGCGGCAGCUGCUGAAGCCCGGUCCCCCGCAGCUGCCCCACCGGGCAAGCUGCUCCCGGGCGGGAAUUCUGGCCGCGGAAAUUCGGCUCCAGCUUAAUGAGACCAAGCUGGGCAGAGGCACUUAAAGCAAAUUCCCACUAACAUCCCUAAUAUAUCUGCAAUGUGUGCAGCAGAGGCGGUGACAGCAGCGGCAGCAGCAUGAGAUUCACAGUAUUAAUAAAGG